rnacentral:ncRNA from 2 species
AAGCAUUCUGAUGACUGACGGAUAAUUGUGGAGUACCACAGAGGAAUCAGAAGUCGUAUUAAGCCGACCGUCUGGGCAACAUUU